rnacentral:ribozyme from 1 species
AAAAAAAAAAAAAAAAAAAAAAACUUCUUCUUCUUCUGCUUUUCGAACACUACUCGAUUCCUACUUUUGUACUCCCUUUGUUUCACAUUCUUUUGCCUGGUUCAUCGGACAAGCAUAGAGCUCUCUUGAACUGCCUCAUCUUUGCCAAAGCAUCAGUAAAAAAAGAAAUACAGCUUCAUCUUGCUCUGUUCUGU